ACCUGCCCAUUGAUUAUUUGAAUGGCCGCAGUAAUUUGACUGUGCAAAGGUAGCAUAAUCAUUAGUUUUUUAAUUAAAAGCUUGUAUGAAAGGUUGGACGAGGUAAAAUCUGUCUUUAUUUAAUUUAUUUUAUAAUUUAAUUUUUAAGUUAAAAAGCUUAAAUUUUAGUAAAAGACGAGAAGACCCUAUAGAUCUUUAUAUUAUUAUAAAUGAUUUUAAUUAGGAAUAUUUUAUUUUUUAUUUAUAUUAAUAUUUUAUUGGGGUAAUAAAAAGAUUAAAAAAAUUCUUUUUUUUAUAAAAUAUUAAUUGAUAGUUUUAUGAUCCAAUAAUUUUGAUUAAAAGAUUAAGUUACCUUAGGGAUAACAGCGUAAUUUUUUUAAAGAGUUCAUAUCGAUAAAAAAGUUUGCGACCUCGAUGUUGGAUUAAAAAUUGUUCUAGGUGCAGAAGUUUAGAAAUUUGGUCUGUUCGACCAUUAAAUUUUU
rnacentral:rRNA from 1 species